rnacentral:tRNA from 1 species
GCUUUGGUAGCUCAGCUGGGAGAGCGUCAGACUGAAGAUCUGAAGGUCAUGGGUUCAAGCCCCAUUCGAAGCA